UCGGGAAUUUUGGGCAAUGGGCGAAAGCCUGACCCAGCAACGCCGCGUGAGGGAUGAAGUAUUUCGGUAUGUAAACCUCGAAAGAAUGGGAAGAAUAAAUGACGGUACCAUUUAUAAGCUCCGGCUAACUACGUGCCAGCAGCCGCGGUAAUACGUAGGGAGCAAGCGUUGUUCGGAUUUACUGGGCGUAAAGGGCGCGUAGGCGGCGCGGUAAGUCACUUGUGAAAUCUCUGAGCUUAACUCAGAACGGCCAAGUGAUACUGCUGGGCGAGAGUGCGGAAGAGGCAACCGGAAUUCUUGGUGUAGCGGUGAAAUGCGUAGAUAUCAAGAGGACCACCUGAGGCGAAGGCGGGUUGCUGGGCCGACACUGACGCUGAUGCGCGAAAGCCAGGGGAGCAAAC
rnacentral:rRNA from 1 species